rnacentral:rRNA from 1 species
AGCAGCCGCGGUAAUUCCAGCUCCAAUAGCGUAUAUUAAAGUUGUUGCAGUUAAAAAGCUCGUAGUUGAAUUUCGGAAUCUGUCCAUCGGUCGGGCUUCACUGUCCGUACUGGUGUGGUGGGUUCUUACCUUCUGAAUAACCAGCAUGCCAUUAAUUUGGUGCGUUGGGGAAGCAGGACUAUUACCUUGAAAAAAUUAGAGUGCUCAAAGCAGGCCAGUGCCUGAAUAUAUUAGCAUGGAAUAAUAAAAUAGGACGGCAUGGUUCUAUUUUGUUGGUUUCUAGGAUCACCGUAAUGAUUAAUAGGGAUAGUUGGGGGCAUUAGUAUUCAAUUGUCAGAGGUGAAAUUCUUGGAUUUAUUGAAGACUAACUUCUGCGAAAGCAUUUGCCAAGGAUGUUUUCAUUAAUCAAGAACGAAAGUUAGGGGAUCGAAGACGAUCAGAUACCGUCGUAGUCUUAACCAUAAACUAUGCCGACUAGGGAUCGGACGAUGUUAAUUUUAAUGACUCGUUCGGCGCCUUA